rnacentral:lncRNA from 1 species
GUGCUCCUCGCCGUCACACUCGCCGCCGCCGCCGCCACCGCCGUGGGUGCGUCGUCCGACACGGCCCCCUUCUACCCGUCCGCGGAGGAGGCCGCCGCCGCGCACUGCGAGGGCACGCUCUACCCGGAGCUCUGCCUGUCCACGCUCGCCGACAUCCCGGACCUCCACACCAAGUCCCUCCCGGACGUCAUCUGCGGCACCGUCAACCGCACCAAGGACGCCGUCGCCGCCACCUCCUACAACUGCUCGCACUACAUCAACAGCAAGUACCUCACGCCGCGCGACCGCCUCGCCAUCUCCGACUGCAUGGAGCUCCUCGACACCACCAUGGACGAGCUCCAGGCCACCACCAGCGACCUCGAGUCGCCGGCCGUCGCCGGCGGCAACAAUGGCUCGGCCUCGAUGGCCGCCAAGCGCGUCACCAUGGACCACGUCAUGACGGAGCUCUCCGCCGCCAUGACCAACCAGUACACCUGCCUCGACGGCUUCGACUACAAGGACGGGGAGAGGGUGCGUCAUUACAUGGAGUCCAGCAUCCACCACGUCUCCCGCAUGGUCAGCAACUCGCUCGCCAUGGCCAAGAAGCUGCCCGGCGCCGGCGGCGGUGGGAUGACCCCGUCAUCGUCGUCGCCCGACACGGCGACGCAAUCGGAGUCGUCAGAGACCACGCAGCGGCAGCCAUUCAUGGGGUACGGGCAGAUGGCGAAUGGGUUCCCGAAGUGGGUGAGGCCGGGAGACCGGCGGCUACUCCAAGCGCCGGCGUCGAGCAUCACGCCCGACGCGGUGGUGGCGAAGGACGGGAGCGGCGGGUACACGACGGUGUCGGCGGCGGUGGCGGCGGCGCCGGCGAACUCGAACAAGAGGUACGUGAUACACAUCAAGGCCGGGGCGUACAUGGAGAACGUGGAGGUGGGGAAGAGCAAGAAGAACCUGAUGUUCAUCGGCGACGGCAUCGGCAAGACCGUCAUCAAGGCCAGCCGCAACGUCGUCGACGGCUCCACCACCUUCCGCUCCGCCACAGUCGCUGUGGUGGGCAACAACUUCCUGGCCCGCGACCUGACGAUCGAGAACUCGGCCGGCCCGUCGAAGCACCAGGCGGUGGCGCUGCGCGUGGGCGCCGACCUGUCGGCGUUCUACCGGUGCAGCUUCGUCGGCUACCAGGACACCCUCUACGUCCACUCCCUCCGCCAGUUCUUCCGCGAGUGCGACAUCUACGGCACCAUCGACUUCAUCUUCGGCAACUCCGCCGUCGUCUUUCAGAGCUGCAACCUCUACGCGCGCCGCCCGCUCCCCAACCAGAGCAACGUCUACACCGCGCAGGGGCGGGAGGACCCCAACCAGAACACCGGCAUCUCCAUCCAGAAGUGCAAGGUGGCCGCCGCCUCCGACCUCCUCGCCGUCCAGUCCAGCUUCAAGACCUACCUCGGCCGCCCCUGGAAGCAGUACUCCCGCACGGUGUUCAUGCAGUCGGAGCUCGACAGCGUCGUCAACCCCGCCGGGUGGCUCGAGUGGAGCGGCAACUUCGCGCUCGACACGCUCUACUACGGCGAGUACCAGAACACCGGCCCCGGGGCCUCCACGUCCAACCGGGUCAAGUGGAAGGGCUACCGCGUCAUCACCAGCGCGUCGGAGGCGAGCACCUUCACCGUCGGCAACUUCAUCGACGGCGACGUAUGGCUCGCCGGCACGUCCGUCCCCUUCACCGUCGGGCUGUGACACUGUGAUAGAGCGCGCUGGGUUCAGGGCGUCACGGCAAUAAGCGUGCUGUGCUGACAAGUGAAGAAAGAGGGGGCACCAGUUCGAAUCGAAUACCAUGUUGCUGUUGAUUCUUUUGUUUUUGGGCCGAAAUGUGUAACAUGUACCUAUACGUGAUUCAGAAAUUACCAUUCGAUACGGGUCCGUAUUUACGUUCUCCAUACAUAUGAAGUGGAGUGUUAAAAUCAGGUGUAUUUUUCUCUCUCUGUUUCUGGCAAUGGGGUUUCGUGAUAAUGGUGUCCAAUCUUGAUAAGCGCUAUAGAGCAAAUAAAUUAGGAAACUAAUUUUUGUUUGGGGACAUCUUUUGUUCGG